AGCAGCGUGGCUUAGUGAAAGAGCCUGGGCUUGGGAGUCAGAGAACAUGGGUGCGAAUCCCGACUCUGCCA
rnacentral:tRNA from 1 species